rnacentral:rRNA from 1 species
GGCGGCGUGCUUAACACAUGCAAGUGGAGCGACGAACCGGGCUUCGGCCCGGGGCAAAGCCGCGAACGGGUGAGUAUCACGUGGGUAACCUGCCCCGAUGACCGGGACAACCCGAGGAAACUCGAGCUAAUACCGGAUGUCUUCUCCGCACAUCAGUGCAGAGAGAAAAGGAAGCUUCGGCCUCCGCAUUGGGAUGGGCCCGCGGCCCAUUAGCUUGUUGGUGAGGUAAAAGCUCACCAAGGCGACGACGGGUAGCCGGCCUGAGAGGGCGACCGGCCACACUGGGACUGAGACACGGCCCAGACUCCUACGGGAGGCAGCAGUGGGGAAUCUUGCGCAAUGGGCGAAAGCCUGACGCAGCGACGCCGCGUGGGGGAUGAAGGCCUUCGGGCUGUAAACCCCUUUCAGCAGGGACGAAGCGAAAGUGACGGUACCUGCAGAAGAAGCGCCGGCUAACUACGUGCCAGCAGCCGCGGUAACACGUAGGGCGCAAGCGUUGUCCGGAAUUAUUGGGCGUAAAGAGCUCGUA